rfam:Zootermopsis nevadensis contig2356, whole genome shotgun sequence.
GUCACUGUACGGUCUAGCGGUUAGAACGCUGGCCUUGUAAUCCUGGGGUCUCGGGUGCAAUUCCCGGCGGUGCCC